UAAUACAGAGGUCCCAAGCGUUGUUCGGAUUCACUGGGCGUAAAGGGUGCGUAGGUGGUGAGGUAAGUCUGAUGUGAAAUCUCCGAGCUCAACUCGGAAAUGGCAUUGGAAACUACUUGGCUAGAGGAGUGGAGGGGGGACUGGAAUUCUCGGUGUAGCAGUGAAAUGCGUAGAGAUCGAGAGGAACACCAGUGGCGAAGGCGAGUCCCUGGACACUUCCUGACGCUGAGGCACGAAAGCUAGGGGAGCAAACAGGAUUAGAUACCCUGGUAGUCCUAGCCGUAAACGGUGCGCAUUUGCUGUGGGCGGAAUCGACCCCGCCCGUGGCGUAGCCAACGCGUUAAAUGCGCCGCCUGGGGAGUACGGUCGCAAGAUU
rnacentral:rRNA from 1 species